GGAGGUGUGGCCGAGUGGUUUAAUUGAAAACCGCCGACUGUAACAGGUCCUAGAGUUCGAAUCUCUACGCCUCCGCCA
rnacentral:tRNA from 1 species